rnacentral:misc_RNA from 1 species
UUUUUUUUUUUUUCCUUUUUUUUUAUUUUUACUGCUGUGAAUUUUUAGAUUUUACGGUUUGUUACUCGUGUACAAAAGCUUUCUGCUUAUUGGAGUCUUACGAGCCACGUAAAUAGUCUGUCUGGUGCUUAGCAGGUUUUUUGGAUUAUUUAACUUUAUUUAGAUUAUUAUAUUAUUUUUCAAAUAUUAAAAAUAAAAAUAAGAAUUAGUAAAUGAUGAUAAAAAUUUAAAAACAUGAUGUAGUCGGCUAGGAUCUUACGCUAUGAGUGAGUUUGG